UCGAACCCACGGACCGCGAGAUCGUGACCUGAGCCGAAGUCGGCCGCUUAACCAACUGAGCCACCCAGGUGCCCCUGUUUCAUCUUUUAAAUAGGAACCAUCAGUAAAUCACAAAAAAUGUGCAUUCGUUAGAGGAGUUUCCUGUACCUUUUUCUAUGUGGAGUCAAAAGGUAAUUUGUCAAGCAUUAGGCAGUCAUGAGGGAUUUUGACUGGGUCCAAAUGUAGUCCUUGUUUUGAGAUCAGAUCCCUAAAUAUCAAACUUGAAUGAGCAAACUGCAAGUUUUCUGGGAGGCUUUAUGUUUCUUUAAGGUGAAAAGUUUUUGUUUAAGUAGGCUUCAUGCCCAGCACGGAGCCCAGUUCGGGGCUCGAACUCACGAGCUGGGAUCAAGAGUUGGGCACUUAACCAGCUGAGCACCAAGGCAGCCCUUUAAGGCCACACGGUUUAACACAGGAGUGCUGUCUGUCCUGUGAAAGGGGAGCAGAGAAGCUAAGCCGUCUCCAUUAGUCAGAAAGUAGACAACUUUUGUAGACAACUUUAUAUCCUCCAAAUCCGCCUAGAAGGUUUAUGAAAGGUUAAGAGAGACUAUGAAACCCUGAGGCAUGACUGGAUGUAUUUCAGUUCUCAAGAGAAAGCAAAAAAAGAUACUGGCUCUCUGUAUCACCUGGAAUACUAAAAAUACCCUGCACAGAUGGAUUCCAGUGAAAAACUAGCUUUCGUUGGGGAGGGCCGUCAGGAACAUAUACGGGAGUUAGGGACCAUGGAGGGCUGAAGGAUACCGAUGUUACUACUAACACAGGGGACAAUGAGGCUGUGGGCCUUGGGAUUGCUGUGGGCUUCACACUUCUUAAAGGGCUUCUUUAUUUAGAGGGUAUGGAUUAAUUCUAGUGAGGGGUUUUGAUGGGCAUUUAAAGAUCUUCUAACUCGUCAGGUUGGCUAUUUCGAUUACUAGAAGUCAAAUUCUAGAAUUAUUCCUGCAUUUGGGAGAAAGAAAUUACAGGCGAUACUUCCGUGAGAAAUCUUGGCACAAUACACAGACGGGAGCAAGGAACUCAGGAGAAAAGAGUGCAUCUCUCGAAGGGCCUAGAGAAAAGGGAAUAGGUUCAGAGACGGGAACCUGUUGGGGUCAUUAUUAGAUAUGCUACUCAAGCUGUUUUCUUGCUCUGAGGCCGGGGCUGCCUCCCAGCAGCAGAGUCUAAGAGUAGCUCCGUGGUCCCAGUAGGGAGAGUGGUUCCUCCGCGGCGAUUAGGAGAGGUGAUGGGAAAGAGCCUUGGUAACUUCUCAGAGCCCGGUCAUUGGGAAUUUGGAAGACGUUGGAAAGACUGACUGGCGGGCUAGGGGUGCAUGGAGCACUUUGAUUAGUGACAGUCUUUUUUCCAGUGACCUGGCUCUUUGCAACCAUAGCAGAAACUAGAAGGUUUUUGGUUUUGUUCCUUCAGUUGUUGGAGUGGAGCACUGAGAAUUUUACGGUCUUCCUUGCAGGUAGCAAGUGUGCCGAUUUGUCAGAUUAAAUCUGGAGGGGACAUAGUUUCCCAUCCCAUCAUGGUCCUUUUAACUAAAGGAGAAAGAUCCUGGUUGAUAAACAUAGAGUUCGGUGCUAGCCUGGUGGAUUCAACAUUUAAAGACCGGAAACUUUUUUUUUUUUUUUUUUUUUUUUUUGAGAGAGAGAGAGAGAGAGUGUGAAAGCAUGAGCAGGGGAGAGAGCGGAGGGGGAGGGAGAGGCUCCGUGCUUGGCUUGGAACCUGACAAAGGGCUAAGCCCAAAGGUACUGAUUAAAAUAGGUUUUUGUUUUGUUUUGUUUUGUUUUCUAUAAGCCAUGUUUUUUCAAUUUAAUUUUGAGAGAAACAAGUUUGGGGAGAACAAAGGUUACCCAUAAUGCCCAUUGAAGUUCUAAAUUACCUUUUUAGUUUUUGACAAUGCCCUUGUGCGGUUGGGGGGAGGAACAGAGGGAGUGAAUCUUAAGCAGGCACCAUGCCCAGCAUGGAGCCCCACUUGGGGCUCGAUCUCAUGACCCUGACUGAGAUUAUGCCUGAGCCAAAGUUGAGUCGGAUGCCUGACCGACUGAGCCACCCAGGCGCCCCUAAAUUGCUUUAGAUUGAGUCCAUCCACUUUGUUAGAAAUGCAUAUGAGGAGGGACCCCAGUAGGGCUGGGCACCCUCAAGGCACUUUGAUGACUGAGAUCCCGUUUCUGAGUUGUUUUUUUCCUUUAGAGCAGAAAGAAAAAAAAAAAAAUUAACAGUUUCAACAGGAAAAGCCUACUUCCAGGAGGAAUCGGUAUAAAGGCCUGCACAGUUCCAAUAGGAGAGCCCAGUUUCAAAAGAAUUAGACUUGAGGCCACUGUUUCAAGAGGGACCGUCUAGUUCUGAAAGUGAGUCAGCCCAAAGGCUAACACAGUCUUAAUGGGAACAGUCCCAAUUCCAAACACGAGUGGAACCGAAGGCCCAAGGGACACUUGCAGAAAGGACAAAGCCUUUAAACCCAUCCCGAAGAAAGCCUGGAGACCUCAGGAAGCUGGGGCUCGAAAUCGGGGAGAAAGCAUAGCUUCAAACUCCAGGAGCAGCAAGAAAGACGUGGGCUCGGUGGUUUCCGUGGGUAUUGGCAUAUUUGCUCACCAGCCUCAGAAUUGUUGAGGCGGUCUCAGGAUCUGACUUCUGACACCAGAUAAUAUUAACCUCGACUAUAAAACGGCCAGCUAUCUUACCAGCAAGAAAGGAUUUAUCUGAGACUAGAGAAUUCGGGAGAAGCACGCUCCGGCAAAGCCAUGGUAUGCAUUGCGAAUAGAGACCUAGCCGGGAACGAGUCUCCUUGACCGUGUCCGAGUAAGUAAUGCGAACUGUAUUUUCUAGGAUCUGUGGCCUUUAUGGUUUCAUGGCAGAACUUACCAAAGCCUAACAUCCACGAAACUUGGAAUGCAGAAGCGAAAUAGGAUUCAGUCAGGUUUUGGAGUCAUCUGUGUAGAAGGAGACAGAAGGAUAGGGCUUUCUGGACGCUUGUUUCCAGCCUGUUUUCCUCAUUCUUUGUGAUGCCCGUCAAUAUUCCCAACCCGCCACCAACUACUAGACUUCCAUCUGACCCCGAGCAGUAGGCUUCUCCAGUUGUCUCCACUGUCCGACUUUGAAGAGCCAGCACAGUCGAGAUUUCCUGCGAUCCGUCAUGUGCCCACCUGGAAACAGAUUUCUACCAUCACGGGUUGCGUGUUCUACUCCCCUCUUCCCUAGAUCCGGUUCAUACAAGGUCGAAUUUGUGUAGUAAACACCUGUUGUGUUAAUACGGCGAGUGUCCGUCUGCGUGUUCCUGAUUGCAGUAUGACGGCCACACGGGUGCCGUCCAGAAGAAUUACGUGAGACUUUAUCCUUCUGCUCUGUGCAGCGACCGCUGUGACCCAGAUCUUCCCUCUGAAACCUGGCACGUUCCUCGUUACCGGCAGAUUCCGGGUGUUUUGCGUCGCUUCUCGCGUAAUCCCUCAGUAGGUUUUCAGUUAAGUUGAAUUCUGUGUGAUUAAAAGUACACGCAUUCCCCCCCCCCCCCCAAUGAAUGCUUCUAUAGUUUUCCUUUGAAAUAUUUUAUUAAAAGGUCCCAUUGAUUUAAGGAUCUUCAGAUCAAA